rnacentral:rRNA from 1 species
GACGAACGCUGGCGGCGUGCUUAACACAUGCAAGUCGAACGGAAAGGCCCUGCUUUUGUGGGGUGCUCGAGUGGCGAACGGGUGAGUAACACGUGAGUAACCUGCCCUUGACUUUGGGAUAACUUCAGGAAACUGGGGCUAAUACCGGAUAGGAGCUCCUGCUGCAUGGUGGGGGUUGGAAAGUUUCGGCGGUUGGGGAUGGACUCGCGGCUUAUCAGCUUGUUGGUGGGGUAGUGGCUUACCAAGGCUUUGAUGGGUAGCCGGCCUGAGAGGGUGACCGGCCACAUUGGGACUGAGAUACGGCCCAGACUCCUACGGGAGGCAGCAGUGGGGAAUAUUGCACAAUGGGCGGAAGCCUGAUGCAGCAACGCCGCGUGCGGGAUGACGGCCUUCGGGUUGUAAACCGCUUUCGCCUGCGACGAAGCGUGAGUGACGGUAAUGGGUAAAGAAGCACCGGCUAACUACGUG